CCUCUGAUAUAUUGACUUCACAUGUACCGAGUAAAUAUUGUUGUGUACCCAAACCAUGCGUACCCACACUAAUAAGUUAUCAUCCUACAAGAUACUAAGCCCUUGCUUGACUUGGGUCAGUUGGACAAAGGGAUCGAGGACUACAAGUAGGUGCGCUCGCGCACUCCCGUUGGAUUCAGCCAUUAUAGGGUCAGGGGAUCCUUAUCUAACCUCUUGAGAGACCAUUUGACUUGUAUGGGUGCCCCGACUAACAUGUCCAAGAUGUCUCAGAUUACUCGCCAGCCUCGUUGGGAUGAUAAGUGUUGGCGUGUUCCUCACCAUUAUGUUCCUCUCGUUGAGAUGACCGAAAAUGCAUAUAUAGACAUCGAAUUUGGAGUCUUCAUCACAAAAUUACACUCCAGGCAAGAUUCACCUGUAGAAAACCAAUUUUUAUUUCGAGAAAAAAUCUCAUAAUGUUAGGAUAUUAUUUUCUUUAGCAAUAUAUUUGUCAUUUAGAGGAGCACUUUUUCUCUAGCAGAACAUUUGCAAAGUUGAUUGGUGGGACACUUUGACAUUUACAAAAUUGGAAUGCCGGAACAUUUUUUGUUCUUGAACGAAACAUUCACAUAUUCAAAUAAUGGAUAUGCAAAACACGAAAUGCCCAAAAAGGAAUACUCUCUUUGUCCUAAAAUAUAAUGCAUUAUUAUUUCUAAAUUUUGUUCUGUAAUAUAAGCAUUUUAUGUGGUUUUGAUACUCAUAUUUGGCAAAGUUUAUUAAAAAAAAAUAAACCAUAGUUUGAGGAGGAACUCUUUAAUUGGGUAAUGUGUCAUUUGAGUAUUCGUUUAAGCUAUUCUGAUUCUUUGUAAUGCAUACAGGACGGAGGGACUAAUAAAUAUAUUGAAACAUAAAAAAUGAUAGAGGGCACAAAUAAACCAAGGCGUGGCCGAUCUUUUUCUCCACUCUCUGAGAUAAAAAAAAAACCGUUAGAAGCUUCUUUUACUAACCAAAAGGUAAGAAAGGCAGGGAAGAGCAAGAUUAUGCCGGGGAUAGAGGAGCAAGGAGUCACAACAAGAGGAACCCACUCAGGGG
rnacentral:lncRNA from 1 species